UACGAAGGGUGCGGGCGUUAAUCGGAAUUACUGGGCGUAAAGCGUGCGUAGGUGGCGGGUCGAGUUCACCGUGAAAGUCCUGGGCUUAACCUGGGGAUUGCGGUGAGUACUGACCUGCUCGAGUCGGGUAGAGGGUCGUGGAAUUCCUGGUGUAGCGGUGAAAUGCGUAGAUAUCAGGAGGAACAUCGGUGGCGAAGGCGGCGACCUGGACUCAGACUGACACUGAGGCACGAAAGCGUGGGGAGCAAACAGG
rnacentral:rRNA from 1 species